rnacentral:rRNA from 1 species
CGGACGGGUGAGUAACGCGUGGAUAACCUGCCUCACACUGGGGGAUAACAGUUAGAAAUGACUGCUAAUACCGCAUAAGCGCACAGUACCGCAUGGUACAGUGUGAAAAACUCCGGUGGUGUGAGAUGGAUCCGCGUCUGAUUAGCCAGUUGGCGGGGUAACGGCCCACCAAAGCGACGAUCAGUAGCCGACCUGAGAGGGUGACCGGCCACAUUGGGACUGGGACACGGCCCAA